rnacentral:rRNA from 1 species
GACGAACGCUGGCGGCGUGCUUAACACAUGCAAGUCGAACGGAAAGGCCCUGCUUUUGUGGGGUGCUCGAGUGGCGAACGUGUGAGUAACACGUGAGUAACCUGCCCUUGACUUUGGGAUAACUUCAGGAAACUGGGGCUAAUACCGGAUAGGAGCUCCUGCUGCAUGGUGGGGGUUGGAAAGUUUCGGCGGGUGGGGAUGGACUCGCGGCUUAUCAGCUUGUUGGUGGGGUAGUGGCUUACCAAGGCUUUGACGGGUAGCCGGCCUGAGAGGGUGACCGGCCACAUUGGGACUGAGAUACGGCCCAGACUCCUACGUGAGGCAGAAGUGGGGAAUAUUGCACAAUGGGCGGAAGCCUGAUGAAGCAACGCCGCGUGCGGGAUGACUGCCUUCGAGUUGUAAACCGCUUUCGCCUGUGACGAAGCGUGAGUGACGGUAAUGGGUAAAGAAGCACCGGCUAACUACGUG